rnacentral:rRNA from 1 species
AACGAACGCUGGCGGCAGGCCUAACACAUGCAAGUCGAACGCUGUAGCAAUACAGAGUGGCAGACGGGUGAGUAACGCGUGGGAACCUUCCCAGUGGUGCGGAAUAGCUCGGGGAAACUUGAGGUAAUACCGCAUAAGCCCCUAGGGGGAAAGAUUUAUCGCCAUUGGAUGGGCCCGCGUCGGAUUAGCUAGUUGGUGAGGUAAUGGCUCACCAAGGCAACGAUCCGUAGCUGGUUUGAGAGAAUGACCAGCCACACUGGGACUGAGACACGGCCCAGACUCCUGCGGGGGGCAGCAGUGGGGAAUCUUGGACAAUGGGCGCAAGCCUGAACCAGCCAUGCCGCGUGAGUGACGAAGGCCUUAGGGUUGUAAAGCUCUUUUGCCGGGGACGAUAAUGACGGUACCCGGAGAAUAAGUCCCGGCUAACUUCGUGCCAGCCGCCGCUGUAACAC